AAUUCUCAACCUCUCUAGUUUUUAUUAACUAGUAGAUGGCUUGGACUUGGAGGUUUUUUGCAGGCUUUCACAAAGUCAGCUCCUCUUAAAUGUAUUAGCCGGUGCCCUCUAACCGUCUAUUGGUGUGAUAAUUAUCUACGCCGUGGACUAUUAGACUUGGUUGCAUUGCUUCUAAUCGUCCUGCAUAGGACAAUAUUAUUGACA
rnacentral:misc_RNA from 1 species